CUAAAUACCCCCUGUAGCUAUUUGUUCAAAUAUCCCAGCUCUAACCCUUCCCUAGAGUAAUCAUUAUGCUGAUUCACUUACCUAUGAAUGGAAAAGAUUCUUCGAAGUUGUAGUAGCACUGUUUGAAAUACCAAUUGAGGUAAGGAUUCUUUUCAGGUAUUCUCAAAUUCUAGAAAUAUUCCCAGUUUUCAAUUAACCUUUGUGAAAGACACUGUGCACUUUAAAUAAGCAGAAGAUUUUUACUCAUCUAACUGGGAAAAAAACUCAUGAAUGUCCUUGCUUUUUCUCCAGGGCCAGCAAGCCUUCUGCUUAUGUGCAUGCAUGUAUGUAUUCAGAGAAAGCAAGAAGCGGUCAGGAGGGCUGGAAAACUGACAGCUCUCAGAAUUUUCCCAUAGGUUGGAAGACCUCCCUACUAUUUUUCCCUGUAGGAAUUCUACAGCAAUAGAAAUGGUCUCUGCAGAGGCAGUUGUUUCAUAUCUUUGGCUCAGCAAAGAAUUCUUCAACGAUUGCUUUCCAGGAACAAUGUUUUUUCUGUCUUCUAUGAAGGUUUGUUCAUAUUCUACUCUACAGUGCGGAUUGAUCACUGCUGUUUGCUAUUUACAAGCACACAAGACAGAGGAGCAUCCUUCCAAAAAUAACCAAGGGAUAGUGAAGCUUAUAUCUGCCCCAAGGAUGGAGGUCACAGCUGGAAUGGCUACACAGACAACCCUCAUGCCUGAAUCAUGUCUUAAUGCAUGUCUGUUUCCUUGGUCCUGAUGAAUCCUGGAUUUAGAAUUGCAAGAAUUCACCCAGCAGAAGAGAGUUCCUCACUCAUGUGCUAUUUGCCAAUGAGUGAAUCACCUCCAAUAGAUCUAAAUUCCAUAAUUGUGUAUGAUGGAUGCUUGAGUGUUUCGUGAGUGGGUACUGAAUAUCAGAAUCCCAUUUGGAAGCUUUGGGAAGGACCUGUAAAUGGCUGCCAUAAUACUAAACUCAUAUUUGUGUACUUUAAAGCAAUCUCAAUUACAAAGAAUGGCAUGUGAAGUACAAAGUGAUAACAGGUGGAAUGAUAAACAUUAAGGCUUAAAUCACUCAAGAUUACUAAAUAUCUGAAAUAGUAAAUUUUCUAGAGUAGGGCUGCAGAAGUUUCUAUGAAAUACAUCUUAGUGAAGCAAUUUUUUCUCUUUCAAAGGACGUAUAGGCAUUGAUGCCCUUGUUUCCUGAAAAUGGAGCCACAAUGAUAUAUCCCUAAGAUGCUUUGAGACUAGGUAGGGAUUUAUUUGUUCUUUAUUCACUAUUUCAACCAUGGAGAGGCCCAUGGCCUGCAAACAGGUCACAGAUGAUGGAAAUCAGGAAAGACAUAUAGGAAGACAGCUGAAUAAGUCAAGAUGGAGUCCUGUCCAUACUCUCAAAAAUAAUGGCAGUAAGACUGCAGUCUCAAAAAUAAAUGCUUCUACAGCCCAUGGUUAGGUCA
rnacentral:lncRNA from 1 species